rnacentral:tRNA from 1 species
AGUCAAUUAGCUUAUAAAAAAGCAUUUACUUUGAAAGUAAAAGAAAGAGUCUAUUUAUUGGCUU